rnacentral:tRNA from 1 species
GCUCGUGGCCUAACGGUUAUCGCACUUGCCUUCCACGCAAAAAGUCAAGGUGCAAUUCCUCGCCACUAGUA